UAUCUGCGAGAUCUUGCUGUGGGCCAGGUAUCCAUUCUCCUGUGGCAGCCGUAGAACCUACGGAGACUAGAGGUAUUCCAAGAAAAACAGUAAAGAUGGGGCGGUGGGUAAGAAAACGGCGGGAGGGGAGAGAAUGGCCCAGAACGCCUGUGGGGAGGGACCUGGCGCGCUUUUACCUGGGCGGCCUUUCGACUCUAGGUCCGUGGGUGGUGGAGGAUCCUUUGCGUAGCAAAAAAGGAAGGCGAGUGCUCCUGCAUCCUCUCCAGACGAUACCCAGGUGAGUAGUACCCCCUUGAACCCACCACCCAUGCCCAACCUCUGAGCUUCCCCAUCCCAGUCUCUGGAGAAAAGAUUUCGUGCAGGUCUGCUGCUCACGUGAUUGUCUGUGUUCUGGUCUUGACUCCAUAUCAACCGCUACCCAACAUUUUCUGUCUCUCUCUGAGACGUACUAAGAUAUUCCAGACUCAGGAGGCCUAAUCUUACCUAACCCCUUGAAACCAGCUAUGAAACUUUGAACUAUCCGAUUUAUUCCUUUGGGUCUCGAUUUCAUCAACUGUCAAAUGGGGGUAUAUUUCUACCUGAGCCAAUACGCAUGCUUGGUCCCUAGAAAUUUUUUUCAAUAAAUAAUGAUGAUCGUGAUUGAAAGAAUAUUGAUUCUCUUAGUCUCUGACUUUUUUUCCACCCGUGUCUGUCUCUGACCCUCUCCCCACUGGAUCUUUU
rnacentral:lncRNA from 1 species